CAGUAGCCGCGGGAAUACAGAGGGUGCAAGCGUCAAUCGGAAUUACUGGGCGUAAAGCGCGCGUAGGUGGUUUGUUAAGUUGGAUGUGAAAUCCCCGGGCUCAACCUGGGAACUGCAUCCAAAACUGGCAAGCUAGAGUAUGGUAGAGGGUGGUGGAAUUUCCUGUGUAGCGGUGAAAUGCGUAGAUAUAGGAAGGAACACCAGUGGCGAAGGCGACCACCUGGACUGAUACUGACACUGAGGUGCGAAAGCGUGGGGAGCAAACAGGAUUAGAUACCCGAGUAGUCCCUGUCUCUUAUAC
rnacentral:rRNA from 1 species